GCUCCCUUGUAUAAGAGGUGCAAUGGGCUGACAGCUUCCUGGCCACAUCUUUUGACAACCCCCUGGUGGUCAGUGUCAGUGCUUUGUGCAAAAAGCUAAUGCACUAGGAGGUCAGCAAGCUCACAGCGAUGGCAGCUUGAGGCUCUCUCUGCUCUGGCAAACAGCAAGCUCCUAUGUUUCUAAUGCAGGGCUGUGUGUAUCUGAUUCUGCAAUGCGUCUGCCAUGCCUGGGGAGCUGUUGGGAGAGGGAGCACCAUGAAGUUCACCAGCAGCCAGAAGAAGAUUCCUGAGAGGCCAAGCCAAGUGCUACCUAGAGAGGCCAGCAUGUGGGCUCCACAUUUCUGCUGAAGACGCCUGUGCCCACAAACCUUCAGUAAGGCCUGUGUUGGUGUCAGUCUGGAAGAUUAGAGAAGCGGGCAGUGCAGAGCGAAGAGGAGACAGCAGUGGCCAGAGGUGAAACACUGAGGUAGCAGCAGAAAUUCAAAGAAAGAUGACCAGGAAAGAACAUAAGACAUUAAUGGAGCUCAUGUGAGGUAUCUAGAGGACCCAAGUGGUGUUUUUAAAAGAAGCUUAUCAAUGCUGGCAGAUUCCUGCCUCGGUGUGUGUCCCACGACUAAAAAGGAAAUCCAAUUCUAUUUGAGAAAACUGACAAGACAUUCUUUUCCUUGGAGAAAAUGGACUGGGACAAAUUACACACAAAAAGCUGAAAUCUCCACCACCAGUGGUUGAAAAACAAUCGAGCCUCCAUUAGCAGUUCCUUUGCCCACAGAAUGCUCUCUGAGGAACUACGGGGUUUGGAAAAAGUGCAGGCCUCUAUUCUUCAUCCACGACACAUCAAAGUUGUAAUAAAAACCUGCUUUUCUUUGUGCGACUAAGCAACUGCUAUUUCACACCCACAUAUUGCUGGAGCUUAUUCAAUUACCCUCAAUGACUUUGUUUAAAAUGAAAAUGCUUUGCCUCCUAAGGACAGUGUGAGAGGACUGAUUAAUGUUGCUCCCUGAAGAACAGAAGUGUAGGUACACAGGCAAAAACCUGAGGAGCUAGAAACUACUGCUGGGCCAUGUUUCACAAGCAAUUCAAACCUAUCUUCAAGUAUUUUGUAAAGAAUAAGGACUCUUAAGGCAGUUGGACAUAUCAGGGGGCAUCCCAUACCAUUUUUCCUCUUUCUUCUUGAUGACAAUCACAGAAUUAGAAAACUAAGAAGAUGACAAGAAGUGAGAAAGAAAAACCAAAUUUUGCCAUAUGGUUUUUCAGGAGAAGAGGAAACAGUUCUUUUUUUUUUUUUUUUUUUUUCCGCCUGACACAUGGUUCCAAAAGAUCUGUAACUAACGAACCAAGCCAGCACAUUGCUGGGUUCUGGAGCUCUGUGACUCAGAAGUCACUUUUCUAUCCAACAUAUUAAAUGUCAAGUAAAAUAUAUCCGAUAAGAGAGAUGAAACUUUUUCGGGAAGCUUGGCCACUGAGUGAGUGUCUCUCUUUUGCAAAUGGGCCCUGUAUGUUGCAUCUGUCUUUUAGGUGGAUUGCCAACCUAUAAGAGAUAAAACAUCCACCCAAGAGCUGCAUUAAAAAGCAUAAAUCAUGAAGACCAUAUCUAGUCCUCUAUAAAUCCCUUCAAAAAGAACUUUAUCUGUAAUCAUAGUAAAGGUCUGUUUCAUUUAAGAAAGAAAAAAAACCCAAACAGAAACACAUGCAGAUAGAAAACAGAGAGAAAAUAAAAGAAUCACAGUGGUAUUUUUAUGCAUGCAUAGUAUGCGAAAUUUGGAGAUGAAGAGUCCCGACAGAAUGCUUAAAGAAUCUGUAAUACACAAGAAUAUAUAGGUUCCAGGGUGGGCAUAAUCAAAAAGGGCAGUAUUUAUCCAUCAUCUAUCAUUGGCUCUCAUUUUGCAAAGCUUGAAGAUUAGAACCCCUGAUGUCGAAAGAUCUGAAAAUAUUUAGAGCUAGUUCUUGCAUGGCUCCAUGAAGAAGGGGACGAGGAAAGAAAGAAUUAUAUGAGGACUACACUUCACUACUCUUUUUUAUAGCAGAUUGUUUUCUUUAAGAGGAGCAUAAGCUGUGAUUAAAGUGGCAGAAUUUUGGUGCCUCUAACACCUGGAAUGGAAGCAGAGUAACAAGAAAUACUUGGCAACCCAAUUAUUUCAUGCAGGUUUUCAUCUACCCAGAAAGCUGUCCUCAAAAUAGAAUGGAACUUUUUCUCCUUUAUCAAUCUGGGAGGUGCCUGGGGCAAAGUAACCAAGAACCUAAGAAUAUUGUUGAUCAGUAUUCUCAACAAACAAAAUCUAAAUACACUGUGAUCCAAGGAGUUUAACAAAUAGCUUCCUAAUUUUAUUUCAAUUACUUAAUGGUACAUUCAGCUUACAUUACAGUGCUGUCUUGAUGUGAGGCAGAAAAGAAACAAGACUUGUCCCUAGAGAGAUAUGGGGUUAUUGAGCUUUGUUCCCAGAAGUGGGAGGAUGGAUUAGAUAACUGAUCUUUCUAUAGUUUUAAGGAAUAUUUUAAUUCAACUGUGAAAUAAUGGGAGAAUAAAACAAAUUCAAGAUCAACACUAUCUAGGGAUUUGGGAAGGUUAGAUGUAUAUCCCGAAAAUAAUAGCUAGCGAGAAGGAAAUCUAAGAAAAUGUUUACCUUAGGAGACUAAAAACUUAAUAUUUUAGAAAUAGCAAAAGGCCCAUUUAUUUCUUAUAAAUUUUUAACCAAAGACAUUUACAGUUACUGAAUAGGCUGAAAUAGUAAGAUUCUUAUACUUUCACAUACUGGGGUCUCAGGAGUAAACAUUUACUAGGGGUCACUAUGGGAAAUACAAUCCUUCCCAUCAAGAACAACUGUGGAGACAAAACAUUCCAUCCGAAAUGGAUUAUCAGGCCUCAACUUGUACAAAGCAAUGCACAAAUCAG
rnacentral:lncRNA from 1 species